rnacentral:rRNA from 1 species
GUGGGGAAUUUUGGACAAUGGGCGAAAGCCUGAUCCAGCAAUGCCGCGUGCAGGAUGAAGGCCCUCGGGUUGUAAACUGCUUUUGUACGGAACGAAAAGCCUGGGGCUAAUAUCCCCGGGUCAUGACGGUACCGUAAGAAUAAGCACCGGCUAACUACGUGCCAGCAGCCGCGGUAAUACGUAGGGUGCAAGCGUUAAUCGGAAUUACUGGGCGUAAAGCGUGCGCAGGCGGUUUUGUAAGACAGUGGUGAAAUCCCCGGGCUCAACCUGGGAACUGCCAUUGUGACUGCAAGGCUAGAGUGCGGCAGAGGGGGAUGGAAUUCCGCGUGUAGCAGUGAAAUGCGUAUAUAUGCGGAGGAACACCGAUGGCGAAGGCAAUCCCCUGGGCCUGCACUGACGCUCAUGCACGAAAGCGUGGGGAGCAAACAGGAUUAGAAACCCCGGUAGUCC